rnacentral:tRNA from 1 species
GUCAGGAUGGCCGAGUGGUCUAAGGCGCCAGACUCAAGAUAUGGAGGCGUGGGUUCAAAUCCACUUCUGACA